rnacentral:rRNA from 1 species
GACGAACGCUGGCGGCGUGCUUUACACAUGCAAGUCGAACGAAGUGGCGAACGGGUGAGUAACGCGUAAUCAACCUGCCCUUCAGGGGGGGACAACAGUUGGCAACGACUGCUAAUACCGCAUACUGAAGGAGGGGAUUGCGUCGGAUUCGCUAGUUGGCGGGGUAACCGCCCGCAAAGGGGAUGAUCAGUAGCCUGUCUUGGAGGGUGGACGGCCAAAUCGGGACUUAGACACGGCCCAAGCUCCUACGGGAGGCAGCAGUUGGGAAGCUUCCGAAAAGGACGAAAGUCCUACGGAGCAACGCCGCGUGAGUGAUGACGGCCUUCGGGUUGGAAAGCUCUGUUAAUCGGGACGCGGUACCGGAAUAGAAAGCCACGGCUAACUACGUGCCAGCAGCCGCGGUAAUUC